UAAUUUAUAAUAUUAUAAUUAAAAAUUAGUUUUAUUUUUUAGUUUGAAUUAAUUUAUUUCUUGUUUUGUAAAAUUUAUUUUUUAAUUUUAUUGAAUUAUUUUUAGUACCUUUUGUAUUAGGGUUAAUUAAUUAAUUAAGUUAUUUUUAUUUCCCGAAUUUAAGAUAUUUAAUAUUAUAUAAUUUUAUUUGUUGUAUAACAUUUAUGUAUAUUUUAUUGGUAAUUAAAAGUUAUUCGUUCUUAAUUUAUAUCUGGUUAUUUUAGAUUAAAUUUAAUUUUAAAUUAUUUUUUUAUAUAUUAUUAAUUUUUAAUUUUAUUUUAUAAGGGAUAAUCUUUAUAUUUUCAUAUAAUAUUUAAUUUCUUAUUUUAAUUAUCUUUUAAAUUUUGUAUUAAGUUUUUAAUAAAUUUAUUUAUUUUUAUAAUAUUUUGUUUUAUUUAUGUUCUUAUAAAAUUUAUUUAAUUAAUAAUAAUUUAUUUUAUAUAAUGAUUAAAUUAGUAGAAUUUUUUAUUUAUUAUAAUUGAAUUCAACAAUUAUUCUUUUCAACUGUUUAUCAAAAACAUUUCUUUUAGAAUUAUAAUUAAAAGUAUGUUCUGCUCUAUGAUGAUUUAAAUGGCUGCAGUAUUUUAACUGUACAAAGGUAGCAUAAUAAUUAGUCUUUUAAUUAAGGGCUUGUAUGAAUGAAUAAAUGAAAAAUAUAUUAUAAUGAAUUUUAUUAUUUAAACUUAAUUAUUUGGUAAAAAAGCUGAAUUUUUAAUUUGGGACGAAAAGACCCUAAAGAACUAUUCUUUUAUUUUAUUUUAAUUUUGAUUUUAAUUUAAUUUAAUUUUAAAAAGUUUUAUUGGGGUGAUAAUUAAAUUUAAUCUUUAUUUUUUUUUAUAUCUUUUUUCUAAGAAUUUGUUGAUUCUAAUGUUGGUUAUAAGAAAAAGUUACCUUAGGGAUAACAGCGUUAUUUAAGUGGGGAGUUCAUAUUUAUACUUAAGUUUGCGACCUCGAUGUUGAAUUAAGAUUAUUUUAAGGAGCAGUAUCUUUUUAAUUUAAGUCUGUUCGACUUUUAAAUUCUUACAUGAUUUGAGUUCAAACCGGUGUGAGCCAGGUUGGUUUCUAUCUUAAUUUAUUAUAUUUAUUUUAGUACGAAAGGACCAAUUAAAUCAUUAUUUAUUUAAUGUUUAUUUUUAAUAU
rnacentral:rRNA from 1 species